GACGAACGCUGGCGGCGUGCUUAACACAUGCAAGUCGAACGGAAAGGCCUUUUCGGAGGUACUCGAGUGGCGAACGGGUGAGUAACACGUGGGUGAUCUGCCCUGCACUCUGGGAUAAGCCUGGGAAACUGGGUCUAAUACCGGAUAGGACCGCACUUUAGUGUGUGUGGUGGAAAGUUUUUUCGGUGUAGGAUGAGCCCGCGGCCUAUCAGCUUGUUGGUGGGGUAAUGGCCUACCAAGGCGGCGACGGGUAGCCGGACUGAGAGGUUGGUCGGCCACAGUGGGACUGAGAUACGGCCCAGACGCCUACGGGAGGCAGCAGUGGGGAAUAUUGCACAAGGGGCGCAAGCCGGAUGCAGCGACGCCGCGUGGGGGAUGACGGCCUUCGGGUUGUAAACUCCUUUCGCCAGGGACGAAGCGUUUUGUGACGGUACCUGGAGAAGAAGCACCGGCUAACUACGUG
rnacentral:rRNA from 1 species